AGCUUGCUGGUAGGUGUCGAGCGGCGGACGGGUGAGUAAUACUUAGGAAUCUACCUAGUAGUGGGGGAUAGCUCGGGGAAACUCGAAUUAAUACCGCAUACGACCUACGGGAGAAAGGGGGCAGUUUGCUGCUCUCGCUAUUAGAUGAGCCUAAGUCGGAUUAGCUAGAUGGUGGGGUAAAGGCCUACCAUGGCGACGAUCUGUAGCUGGUCUGAGAGGAUGAUCAGCCACACCGGGACUGAGACACGGCCCGGACUCCUACGGGAGGCAGCAGUGGGGAAUAUUGGACAAUGGGGGAAACCCUGAUCCAGCCAUGCCGCGUGUGUGAAGAAGGCCUUUUGGUUGUAAAGCACUUUAAGCAGUGAAGAAGACUCCACGGUUAAUACCCGUGGACGAUGACAUUAGCUGCAGAAUAAGCACCGGCUAACUCUGUGCCAGCAGCCGCGGUAAUACAGAGGGUGCAAGCGUUAAUCGGAAUUACUGGGCGUAAAGCGAGCGUAGGUGGCUUGAUAAGUCAGAUGUGAAAUCCCCGGGCUUAACCUGGGAACUGCAUCUGAAACUGUUAGGCUAGAGUAGGUGAGAGGAAGGUAGAAUUCCAGGUGUAGCGGUGAAAUGCGUAGAGAUCUGGAGGAAUACCGAUGGCGAAGGCAGCCUUCUGGCAUCAUACUGACACUGAGGCUCGAAAGCGUGGGUAGCAAAACAGGAUUAGAUACCCUGGUAGUCCCACGCCGUAAAACGAUGUCUACUAGUCGUUGGGUCCCUUGAGGACUUAGUGACGCAGCUAACGCAAUAAGUAGACCGCCUGGGGAGUACGGCCGCAAGGUUAAAAACUCAAAUGAAUUG
rnacentral:rRNA from 1 species